AAGGAAUAUUGGACAAUGGAGGCAACUCUGAUCCAGCCAUGCCGCGUGAAGGAAUAAGGCCCUAUGGGUUGUAAACUUCUUUUAGACGGGACAAAACCCCUUUACGUGUAAAGGGUUGAUGGUACUGUCAGAAUAAGCAUCGGCUAACUUCGUGCCAGCAGCCGCGGUAAUACGAAGGAUGCAAGCGUUAUCCGGAAUUAUUGGGUUUAAAGGGUACGUAGGCGGACUAAUAAGUCAGUGGUGAAAGCCUGCAGCUUAACUGCAGAAUUGCCAUUGAUACUGUUAGUCUUGAGUACAGUUGAGGUAGGCGGAAUGUGUCAUGUAGCGGUGAAAUGCUUAGAUAUGACACAGAACACCGAUUGCGAAGGCAGCUUGCUAAGCUGUAACUGACGCUGAGGCACGAAAGCGUGGGGAGCAAACA
rnacentral:rRNA from 1 species